rnacentral:misc_RNA from 1 species
AUGAUUGCGAAUGGUUACCUUCAGUGCUGGCUCGCAAGGGCAAGUGCACGUUGGUGGCUUUCAUACAAUUCCACACCCUGUGCACCUUUGGCCUCUUGCUAGCUUUGGCGGGCAGAGGAUUUUACAUAUACACUCGAAUGUAAUGAAAACAAUUGUUGUGCGCAAGCACUAAUAUA